UGAGGGCUAUACAGGGACACCCGAAACCGUAGGUGGCGGUAUGCACCUAUGAAGUUGCUUCGCAACCCGCCAUUAAAACUCUAAAGAAGAAGGUGCUGUGCACGGGCUCAUUUGACUACGCAUAGUACUGUAUUAGAGGUAAAAAAAAUUAUAUAAAUACUGUUCGGCUUCUCGCACAAACCGAUCGUUUCGUUUCUUAGGAUAUCAAUGUGUCGUCACGAGCGGCAGGGUUUAAUUUGGAUUUGUCUGUGCAUGUUUUUACUGUCUGAGAUUUUGUUACUAUUCACAUGCAUACAGACUGAAACGGUUGGAGUUUCUACAUUUGUGUUGUACUGAAGAAACAAAAGCACAUACAUCUUGGAUGGCCUCGGGUAUGAAGCCGAUUUCAACGGUAACUGCAGAAAGCGUCAGCACGCUCAGCUCAUCACUGGAGUAACGUCUGUACAACGGGUGAGAUAAAACUCAACGCCUGACUGAAUCAUCCAUUCCCUUUUCGAUCCUACGCCAUACGUUAAACUUGAGGUAAUCUUGCUUUUGCUGUUCUAAAAUAAACACUGCUCUUAGCACACCACCCAUACAUGGCACACAAAACAGGUCUUGUGAGGGGGCUGUGCCCACAGGUAGAAAUUCUGUAGGUCCACGGGCUUCUCCCCUUUCAGCGAACAUCACAGCGCUUAGUCCACCAUCGUGGUCUCCAAUCUCCAUUACCAACAGCCUGAGUGCUACACCUACAGACACCCCAACCCAUGCAGCAGCUGGCAGAAGUCAGACAUCAGGCCAAACUGGAUUUCAACACACCCCACCCUUACAUGGCACACAAGUAUAUGACACACAACACAGGUCUUCUCAGGAGGCUGUGCCUACAGCAAUAGGCUUUACGCCCAGCUGCACUACUUCCUGAACUUCAGCCAGCUCCUUGUUUCCUGUCUGCCAUUAUUGG